UUGAAGAUCUGAUAACAUUCAGUAUGAAAAAUAUGCCAAAGUAGAGAAAAUUAGAAAGGGGGCAAAUCAUUUUUCACAGCACUGUACAUCUGAUGUGCAUAAUUCUUAUGGCCAGUGAUGGUGAAAUGCAGUGGGAUCAUAAAGCAUAAAUAACAGUUUUAAAGUAUUAAUUACACAGCUAAUUUAACGACUAAUUUCCCAUGUAGGCCGCUAGCAGAGUCCUGGAGACAGGAAUGAACUCAUUACAGAGGACCCUUGUCUUGAAGAAGCAGGUGGAGGUGGAUGAAGUGGAUUGUCAGCUGGCACAGAAACAGCAGGAAUUCAAAGCCCUUGCACAGAGGGCAGGGCUAUAGCUGAAACAGAAGGCGGUUUAUGAUCUCAACUGCGCCGGCAGGCCCUGAAGAAGUACCAGGCAGAGAGGAAGCAGAACGAUCUGAAACAGAAAGAGGAGCUCACUGAAAAGCUGGAGAGACAUUGGACAUAUCCAUCUUCUCACCUGAAAUCUUGGACUCUCUUUACCUGACAUAUUUUCCCCCAACCCCUACAGGCAGCAGUAUUUAAAGGAUAAGGUGACCAAGCACAAAAUGUACGAAGACUACAUGAUGAACAUUUCCUCCCAGAGACUGAGAAUGUAGAUCACCUGGAGUAAGGGGCAGACUCCCUGGUGAUGCCCAUCAUCCAUCGCCUUGAGACCCUGUCCCUCACCCAUCAGGAUCUGGUGGAGCACCUGGGCCAGCUGGUGGAGGAGCUGGAGCAGGGCCAGCACAGCCUGGACAGUCUGAAGCAGGAGCACAACACCAACAAGCUGAUGAGAUGAGGAACAGAGAACUGUCUGAACUGUUUACCCAGCGGGAUAUAGCCAAGGAGAAAAACAAACAGACUGAGAUUAACCAAGGCCAGUCCUGAGACCAGGUUGAGGAAAUGGGUAGCUUGCUUAUAGCUGUGAAAAACAUUGCAGAACAGUGCUACUUACACCACUAUGGGCCUCUGGAAGAAAUGGACAUGCUGACAAUGAUGGAUAUGGUAAAGGAAUACAUUCAGGAGAGGGCAGACAGAGAAGAGAGCAACAUGACUGAUAGACGAGCGCCAGAGAACAGAGGAUCACUGAAAAACAUUAACAGUACUUUACAUUUGUAUUUAAGGUUGUUGUAAUACUGUUAUAAUAGUAUAGUUUGUGGUGAUUAGUUGCUGAUGAAGGAAAUUGUUGGGGUUAUAACAUGCAGUUGUACAUGCAUUACUCAUAUACCCUAAUCAAAGAUUGAUGUUCAAAAAUUGUUAGGAUGAAUUCAAAUGUUCAUUAGUUUGCUUUAUUCAUUAAAAAAAUAUUACAAAUGUUUAUCUGACAAAAUGUCUUUGAACCAGUCUCUUUGAAAUUAAUAAAAACAAA